UACGGGGGGAGCAAGCGUUGUUCGGAUUUACUGGGCGUAAAGGGCGCGUAGGCGGCCACCGCAAGUCGACUGUGAAAUCUCCGGGCUUAACCCGGAAAGGUCAGCCGAUACUGCGGGGCUAGAGUGCAGAAGGGGCAACUGGAAUUCUCGGUGUAGCGGUGAAAUGCGUAGAUAUCGAGAGGAACACCUGCGGCGAAGGCGGGUUGCUGGGCUGACACUGACGCUGAGGCACGAAAGUGUGGGGAUCAAACAGG
rnacentral:rRNA from 1 species